AAGUUCCCGAAGACGAUUCGCCUCCGGCUAGUUUUUCCCUCCCUGGACUUGUGAGUGGUUGCUGUACUUGCUGUCGUGGGAUAUUGGUCCUUCUUUUCUUCCUUCGUAAAAACGUCAAGGGAAGCGGUUACUUCAGGUCUCUACAGCAGAACGAGAGAAGACAGACCACAGGAGACUUUGUAUCACAGAACAGAGCUGACGGCAAGUGUCACGUGACACAGUACGAAGACGUGUGGGAUGCAGUGAACAGUCAGAGCAUUGCAGGGACUCGAGUAACAACGAAGUCGGAGACAAAGAUCUACUCGAACAGUUAAAGGAAGAAGAUUAUUUUAUAUUUUCAAUCCACUUAUCUAGACAGUAGAUUCUGAACGUUUGCUUUCAUGUUUCUGGCAGAAAUCCUUAGGAUGUAUUUAUAUUUUAGUGUAAUAAUCAAUAGUAAUAAUCGGGUAUGGAAUAGUCUCUUUUAUAAUUUGUAUGAUUUCGGAAGUUGAGAUACUCUAGUUGUGAAUUUUACUGUAAUCUAAGAAUUGUUAUUGUGCCUAGGUGACAACCAUUGCAGAAAAUGUAUUUAAAGUUUGAUGAUUUAUUCAUAAAAACUGUAAUAAGCUAAAGUUCUGAUGAAAAUUAUUCUCCAACCAAGCUUCUGAUAGCGCUGUCAAUGAUUCCCUUAACAAAGAAAUGCUGGCAAACUGUGGUACUUUGUUAAUAUUUAUUCUCGAGUGAAAUACAUGUAUUAUGAUAAUGCUUUUUGGACUAUCAUAUAGAAUUAUAUUAGUUUUCUUACCACCUGCCUACUGGUGUUGGCAAUAAGCACAACUUACACUUCCGUAGCCUUGAAGCUUCAUCCUUGUAACAUUUUCUAGAAUUGUAAUGCCAGUCUCCUCUAGCAACAAAUAUUUUACAUAAAAUAAUUGUGGUUUUUAAAGCAGGACUAUUUCCUUUUACGUUUAAACUGAGAGUAUACAUUACUGUUGAUGGCAGUU